rnacentral:rRNA from 1 species
UACAGAGGUCUCAAGCGUUGUUCGGAUUCAUUGGGCGUAAAGGGUGCGUAGGUGGCGCGCUAAGUCAGGUGUGAAAUUUCGGAGCUUAACUCCGAAACUGCAUUUGAUACUGGCGUGCUUGAGGACUGGAGAGGAGACUGGAAUUCAUGGUGUAGCAGUGAAAUGCGUAGAGAUCAUGAGGAAGACCAGUGGCGAAGGCGGAUCUCUGGACAGUUCCUGACACUGAGGCACGAAGGCCAGGGGAGCAAACGGG